GUGCAGCAGUCGCGAAACUUUACAAUGUGCGAAAGCACGAUAAGGGAACUCUGAGUGCCUCCUAAGGAGGCUGUUCAGGUGUCUAAAAGCACCUGAAGGAAGGGCUGGGUAAGACCGGUGCCAGCCGCCGCGGUAACACCGGCAGCCCAAGUGGUAGCCACGUUUAUUGGGUCUAAAGCGUCCGUAGCCGGCUGGGGUAAGUUCCUUGGGAAAUUUGGCUGCUUAACAGUCAAGCUUUCAGGGAAUACUGCCCGGCUUGGGACCGGGAGAGGUCAGAGGUACUCCAGGGGUAGGGGUGAAAUCCAUUAAUCCUUGGGGGACCACCGGUAGCGAAGGCGUCUGACCAGACCGGGUCCGACGGUGAGGGACGAAGGCUAGGGGCGCGAACCGGAUUAGAUACCCCUGUAGU
rnacentral:rRNA from 1 species